rnacentral:lncRNA from 10 species
UCGGCCAUGCGGUUUGUGGUAACUGGUUCCAGCAGCCCUAGGAAUCUAAUACACUGCCCAUGUUAUUUUGAGGAUCAAGUGAAACUUAGAAACAAUAACAACAAAAAAAGCAAAGUCUGUGAUCAAGAAGAAUUACUCUGUUGCAACAAUAUAAACUAAGAAAAAAAUACGCAAAAUUCUCUGCUGCCUUGGGAGAUGAUCUCAUGAUGUGUAUCAUUUACUUUUAAUAUUUUUAUUUAUUUAUUUUUGAGACGGAGUCUCGCUCUGUCGCCCAGGCUGGAGUGCAGUGGCGUGAUCUCGGCUCACUGCAACCUUCGCCUCCCGGGCUCAAGUGAUUCUCCUGCUUCAGCCUCCUGAGUAGCUGGGAUUAUAGGCAUGUGCCGCCAUGCCUGCCUAGUUUUUUAUUUUUAGUAGAGAUGGGGUUUCACCAUGUUGGUCAGGCUGCUCUCAAACUCCUGACCUUGUGAUCUGUGCGCCUCAGCCUCCCAAAGUGCUGGGAUUACUGGUGUGACCGACCGUGCCUGGCCAAUGUGUAUGAUUUAAUAGCCAGCAGCAAC